GUUAUAUACAACAAUCAAUAAGAGUGACAGAGACGCACAAAUUGUUUUUUGUCCCUUUCUGCGUACAUAGGGAUUGCCGAGUGAUUCUUCUAAUAAUUAAAAAUG